rfam:Paenibacillus sp. oral taxon 786 str. D14 genomic scaffold supercont1.1, whole genome shotgun sequence.
UACGUCCUGCGAUGUGCGUUUCGGUUUCCGUUAUUUUGAACCAAUGACAGUUAUCUCGGGAGACCUACAUUGCGCCGCCGCUGAAAGGCCCUAUCCAUCGGAUGAGGGGACUUCAAAAGCGUCGUUGCGGUCACCCACCUGCGGGUGCAGGUUCGAGAUAAUGUAAUCGGACGGCAUAGGCGGGUCUAUG